rnacentral:rRNA from 1 species
GACGUAGGAGGCGAGCGUUGUCCGGAUUCAUUGGGCGUAAAGAGCGCGCAGGCGGCUUGGUAAGUCGGAUGUGAAAUCCCGAGGCUCAACCUCGGGUCUGCAUCCGAUACUGCCCGGCUAGAGGUAGGUAGGGGAGAUCGGAAUUCCUGGUGUAGCGGUGAAAUGCGCAGAUAUCAGGAAGAACACCGGUGGCGAAGGCGGCUCUCUGGGCCUUACCUGACGCUGAGGAGCGAAAGCGUGGGUAGCGAACAGG